rnacentral:misc_RNA from 1 species
UCGCACCUUACGGUGGCAGUCUCAUUAGAGUUCCCGGCAUUACCCGAUGGCAACUAAUGAUAAGGGUUGCGCUCGUUAUGGCACUUAAGCCGACACCUCACGGCACGAGCUGACGACAACCAUGCAGCACCUACACAUCUGCUAUUGCUAGAAUACCUGUUUCCAGGUACGUCAGAUGCAUUUCAAGCCCGGGUAAGGUUCCUCGCGUAUCAUCGAAUUAAACCACAUGUUCCUCCGCUUGUGCGGGCCCCCGUCAAUUCCUUUGAGUUUCAUUCUUGCGAACGUACUCCCCAGGUGGAAUACUUAACGCUUUCGCUGUACCGCUUACUGUAUAUCGCAAACAGUUAGUAUUCAUCGUUUACUGCGUGGACUAC